rnacentral:rRNA from 1 species
UACAGAGGGGGCAAGCGUUGUUCGGAAUUACUGGGCGUAAAGCGCGUGUAGGCGGCAAUGCAAGUCGGGCGUGAAAUCCCACGGCUCAACCGUGGAAGUGCACUCGAAACUGCAUAGCUAGAGUCCUGGAGAGGAAGGUGGAAUGCUUGGUGUAGAGGUGAAAUUCGUAGAUAUUCGCAAGAACACCGGUGGCGAAGGCGGCGACCUGGUCCUUGACUGACGCUGAGGCGCGAAAGCGUGGGGAGCAAACAGG